GCAAGGGGAGCGGCAGACGGGAGAGUAACACGUGGGAACGUACCCUUUGGUUCGGAACAACCCAGGGAAACUUGGGCUAAUACCGGAUAAGCCCUUACGGGGAAAGAUUUAUCGCCGAAGGAUCGGCCCGCGUCUGAUUAGCUAGUUGGUGGGGUAAUGGCCCACCAAGGCUACGAUCAGUAGCUGGUCUGAGAGGAUGAUCAGCCUCACUGGGACUGAGACACGGCCCAGACUCCUACGGGAGGCAGCAGUGGGGAAUAUUGGGCAAUGGGCGCAAGCCUGAUCCAGCCAUGCCGCGUGGGUGAUGAAGGCCCUAGGG
rnacentral:rRNA from 1 species